UACGUAGGGUGCGAGCGUUGUCCGGAAUUAUUGGGCGUAAAGAGCUCGUAGGCGGCUUGUCGCGUCGGAUGUGAAAGCCCGGGGCUUAACCCCGGGUCUGCAUUCGAUACGGGCAGGCCAGAGUUCGGUAGGGGAGAUCGGAAUUCCUGGUGUAGCGGUGAAAUGCGCAGAUAUCAGGAGGAACACCGGUGGCGAAGGCGGAUCUCUGGGCCGAUACUGACGCUGAGGAGCGAAAGCGUGGGGAGCGAACAGG
rnacentral:rRNA from 1 species